CUGCGUAACGCGCGAUGAGGGAAUCCCAAGUGCAUGCACGUAAGUGUAUGCUGUUUCUUUGUUUAAAAAGCAUAGAGAGUAAGGGCUGGGUAAGACGGGUGCCAGCCGCCGCGGUAAUACCUGCAGCUCAAGUGGUGAUCGUUAUUAUUGGGCCUAAAACGUUCGUAGCCGGUUUAGUAAAUGCCUGGGUAAAUCGUGUAGCUUAACUAUACGAAUUCCGGGUAGACUGCUAAACUUGAGACCGGGAGAGGCUAGAGGUACUCCUGGGGUAGAGGUGAAAUUCUGUAAUCCUGGGGGGACCACCAGUGGCGAAGGCGUCUAGCUAGAACGGGUCUGACGGUGAGGGACGAAGCCCUGGGGCGCAAACCGGAUUAGAUACCCGGGUAGUCCAGGGUGUAAACGCUGCUUGCUUGAUGUUAGUCGGGCUCCGAGCCCGAUUAGUGUCGGAGAGAAGUUGUUAAGCAAGCUGCCUGGGAAGUACUGCGUAACGCUGCGUAACGCUGCGUAACGCUGCGUAACGCACA
rnacentral:rRNA from 1 species